CUCCGGUGGCUUGUAACCUGUCACCCUAAGAUUCCUUGGUGCAAGGCAUGGUUUACCAGAUCAGGUGGAAGCGCUCAGCCAUGCCUGCCGUGACCCUGCUUCCCAUCAGGAUGAUCAUGGACUAAUCCUCUGAAACUGUGAAGGAACCCAGAUGGAAAGUGCUGGCUAACUCCAACUCCACUUAUGUCAAGUAUCAAGACACAAACAAACCCAGAGAGCCAGGAAGUCAUCAAUAACAACGGCUGUCCUGCCCGGACCUGGCCCAAGGAUGUGAGGGCUGUGGGAAUUGCGGAAAUGGGGGAAGCCAGACCCGAGAAUAAGAAAGGGUGGCCAGUGAAGUGGGCGGGAGGGGGGCAUAAGAGAGGGUGCUGCUGUGGAGCUGGAGAAAGACUGAAUCCUAGGUGAGAACAAGCAAUCAAAGAAAGAGGUCAAGGGAGAUGGAAGCAGCCAGUGGCAGUUUGGGUGAGGCGGUGAAGGCUCAGAGCUGGAAACGGGCAUGAAGCGGGAUGGAUAGGUCUCUCCGUCACCAGUGGCGAGGGCUGGGAGGCUCUCAGAGACCAAACUGCGACCUUUAGCCAAUCCCUAGGAUCUUCGACAUCAGAAAGAAUUCAGAACAAAGUAUGGCGUUGAAACUUUGGCACAGGCUAUCCUGUAACUCAUGAUGGAGCUGAAGCUGGCUAUAAACUCCUCU